UUUGGCAUUGAUUUCUUUCAAAGUGCACUCUAACUUCUCCUCAUUUUGUUUGCAUAUACAUUUUCUUUUCCUUUUUAGGUUUGAAGAAGUAAAAUAGCUAACAUGAUACAUUUUUAGUGAAAUUCUAUGGCCACACUUAAUGACACAAUAGUAUGGCUUAAUACUUAAACUAGUAUACAACCACCAAAUUUAAAAUUUUCUAUACGAGAUAUGUUUGAUAGCACCUGUUAUAUCGUCAUUUCUAUGCUCACUAAGUCAGUUGGUUAUAUUAAAACUCGUACCAUUAAGGACAUUGAGUCCUAAAAUAUUUAUAUUAAAAUUUAUAUUUAUUUAUAACUUAUAUUUAUUUAUUAUAAAUGUAGUUAAUAUUUUUUAUAACCUACUUAAUGUAAUUUAGUUCGUGACAAUGGUCCUAAACUUAAUAAUAGUCAUGUUUAUGUUAUAAUUGUGACGUACAUAGCUAAAACACAUAAUCAACCACACACAAAAGCUCUACAUUCCACGGAUUAAUUUACGUAAUUGCAACAACAUAGUGAAUAUAUUGAUGCGUGUAUACUUAAAUGCUUUGGUAGAUAUCUCUAGAGUAUAUGGGCUCAGCAAUAUCAUGAUAGCAGCUUAUAUUCUACCAUCAUGUUUACAUGAUACAAUAAUCUAGAACAUAUAAAUUGCUUAAGAUGGGAUUACCACCGGAUCAAUUGUUUGUAUAGCACCAAGCCCCACGACUAAAAUCAGAGUGUGGAUUAUUGAGAGGUUGCCAAGAGAUUAAGUUCCAUACAGGUGUGACCCAUAAAUUUUGCCCCUAGGUUUGCCUCUUGUUUUCACCAUUCUAUAGGGUUCUAAGGGCCUCCUUGAUUUGCAGGAUUUUAAAAAUGCACGAAUGAGAGAAGUAGAGAAUUGGAUUGGCAUAUCCAUUUGAACCCUAUAGGAUUAGCAACGAGUGUUUGAUGCCAUAGGAAAAUCAAAGGAAUUGUAAAAAGAAGUUAGAGUGGAUGUUAGAUUUCCUAUGAAAUAUAGUACAAAAGAUUUCAUAGGAAAAAAUCCUAUGGGAUCCAAUCCAAUGAAUCAAAGUACCAAUGUAGGAAAAAAAUCCUAAGGAUUUUAAUCCUCUAAAAAUCCUAUAGAAUUCGUUUGAAUCAAACGAGCCCUAACUUCUUGUGUCUAACUUAUGCGAUCACUUUGUUGCAAUCUGUACUCAACACAGUUGUGUCGAUCAAUAAGACUCAUAGAACGGAUAUUAUUUCCAUCCAAAGUAUUAUUUAUAACGAGCUGAACAUGCAUGCUAGCUACCCCACAAUUCCAAAUUAAUCAAACUUUUUUGUUUUAUCCUAAACCUACUUCUUUUAGUUUGACCAAGUUUAUAGGGGAAUAUAUUGAUAUUUCAUACACCAAAUUAGUUCUUUAGACUCUUUAUAAAGUUGGUAUACUUGUUGUUGUAUAGAUCUUAACUAGUUGUACAGAUUCUUUAGAUUCUUGCUAGAUAUUAAUAAAAAUACCAUAGAACAAUUGUUCUACGGUCACGUCUAAAAAAAACUAUAUUUCUGUACAAAUUUUGGUCAAACUGAAACAAGUUUGACUCAAUACAAACCUAUAACUUCAAUUAAUUUGGAAUGGAGAGCAUAUUUGUGUUGGAAAUAAUGGAAGUUGAUUUUCCGCAAAAGUUCUGACAAGGCUCUCUAGUCUGGUAUACAUAUACCCGUCGAUUGUAUUAAAUUCAUGUUUCGGCCAGUUAAUCCAAAUUUUUGAAGUGAUGGAAAUAGUUGAG
rnacentral:lncRNA from 1 species